rnacentral:misc_RNA from 1 species
GAUUUGUGGAACUAAUCAUGCCUUUAUGCGUGCGCCCGGAAACAUAGGCCGACUGCUGAGCCCACUCUGGCUCAGCCGCACCACCCCGGGUGCGAGCCACCCGAGAAGCAAGCUAUUACAGCGAGCGGCUGGAGCUGUAGGGAGCCAAGGAGCAAGGCAGUAGAUAAGAUAGAAGAAGGGGCCAGGCUCCCGGUAGAGCAGAGGAGACGGUUAGGAUAACGAACUUGAAACGCGGAGCCCAAGCGGCCGGCGAGCGAGUGGUUAGUGGCCAAUAGCGCCCUAGUUGAUGGCAUUCCUCUCUGCGGCUGGCACUCGAGGAACCACGGGGCACUCCAUACAGAGCAAGCAAGUCUUAGGGAUGAGACGCCCGCGCAAGGACCUCAAUUCUCAUUAGGAGGUCGAACCAAGGACCUAUGGAAGUCGGGGCUACCCCGUCCCCAUGGGCAACGCAACAGUGUCCUGAGGGAGGAGUUUAGAGGCCUUAUAGUAGCACGGACUUUUUUUU